UGGCGGACGGGUGAGUAACGCGUGGGUAACCUGCCAUAUACAGGGGGAUAACACUUAGAAAUAGGUGCUAAUACCGCAUAAGCGCACAGGGGCGCAUGCCCCGGUGUGAAAAACUCCGGUGGUAUAUGAUGGACCCGCGUCUGAUUAGCCAGUUGGCAGGGUAACGGCCUACCAAAGCGACGAUCAGUAGCCGGCCUGAGAGGGCGGACGGCCACAUUGGGACUGAGACACGGCCCAAACUCCUACGGGAGGCAGCAG
rnacentral:rRNA from 1 species